rnacentral:rRNA from 1 species
AGCGGCGGACGGGUGAGUAACACGUGGAUAACCUGCCUGGAAGUGGGGAAUAACUCAGGGAAACUUGAGCUAAUACCGCAUACCUUCGCACCGUGCAGGCGGUGCGAGCAAAGAUGGCCUCUUCAUGAAAGCUGUCGCUACCAGAGGGAUCCGCGGCUGAUUAGCUAGUUGGUGAGGUAACGGCUCACCAAGGCUGCGAUCAGUAGCCGGCCUGAGAGGGUGAUCGGCCACACUGGAACUGAGACACGGUCCAGACUCCUACGGGAGGCAGCAGUGGGGAAUAUUGGACAAUGGGGGAAACCCUGAUCCAGCAACGCCGCGUGGAGGAUGAAGGCCUUCGGGUUGUAAACUCCUGUCAGGUGGGACGAAAGGUCUCCGGUUAAUGCCCGGAGUUCGUGACGGUACCACCGGAGGAGGCCCCGGCUAACUCCGUGCCAGCAGCCGCGGUAAUACGGAGGGGGCAAGCGUUAUUCGGAAUUAUUGGGCGUAAAGGGCGCGUAGGCGGCCUGACAAGUCAGGGGUGAAUUCCCUCGGCUCAACCGAGGAACUGCCUCUGAAACUGUCUGGCUUGAGGCCGGGAGAGGGUGGUGGAAUUCCCAGUGUAGCGGUGAAAUGCGUAGAUAUUGGGAGGAACACCGGUGGCGAAGGCGGCCACCUGGACCGGUUCUGACGCUGAGGCGCGAAAGUGUGGGGAGCAAACAGGAUUAGAUACCCUGGUAGUCCACACUGUAAACGAUGAGCACUCGGUGCCGCG